CUAGGUGAAGCUACUGUGAAGUCCAGAAGUGUACUCUCAGGAAUAAGUUCUGCGUCUUAUGAUUUAAAGUAGAACUACCAAAUAGACUGAGACAAUAAAUAGUCCACACUUGGACUCAUGUGCAACGUUUGAUACGAGUGAAAAAUGAAGUUGACUUCAGUUUUUAGUCUGGUCAUUAUACUUCCUGCCUGUUUGGCUUACUCCUAUUAUACCAGCAGAAUACCAAACGGGAACUAUGUCAUGCAUCCUUGUAAACCCAACUCGUUCUGGCCAGGAGUGGGACAUGAGGAUAAAGAUGGCGGAGGGCCGAAGAAUGAGUUCGGCAAAAAAUUCUCGAGAGUUUUCAGCAAG
rnacentral:sRNA from 1 species